AUGAAAAAUUUUAAAUAGCUGCAAUUUUUGUACUAAGGUAGCAUAAUCAUUUGUUUUUUAAUUUUAAACUAGAAUGAAAGGUAAAACAAAUUAUUUCUUUAUUUUUUAUUUUAUUCCAAUUUAUAUUAAAUAUAAAAAUAUAUUUUUUUAAAAAAAAGACGACAAGACCCUAUUGAACUUUACUUUAGUUAAGCUGGGGAAGCUUAAUAAUAAACAUUUUAUUAAAAAUUUUAUAAAUGACCCAAAACAUUUGAUUAAUUAAUCAAGUUACCAUAGGGAUAACAGCGCAAUAAACUUUUAAAGUUCUUAUCUAAAAAUUUGUUUACGACCUCGAUGUUGAAUUAGAAACCUUUAUUAAGCAAAAAUAAUAAAAGUAGGUCUGUUCGACCUUUAAUAUUCUACAUGAUC
rnacentral:rRNA from 1 species